rnacentral:lncRNA from 1 species
CUUCAUUAAAUGCUACUCCUAAAUCAGGCUGCAGCAGCAAAGAGUCAUCCUCUAUAAACAGCUCAAAGUACCUCCUUACAUUAAACAGUUCACCUAGGCCUGGACAGGCAAACAGCUACUAAGCUUCUUAAGCUUGCCCAGAGAUACAGGCCAGAGACAAAGAAAGAAAAGAAGCAAAAGUGAUUGGCCCAUGCUAUGAAGAAAGCUGCUGGCAAAGGGGACAUGCCAACUAAAAGACCACCUGUCCUCCAAGCAGGAGUCAAUACAGUCACCAUUUUGGUGGAGAACAAGAAGGUUCAGCUGGUGGUGAUUACCCAUGAUGUAGACCCAUUGAGCUGGUGGUUUUCCUGCCUGCCUUGUGUCAAAAGAUGGGGGGGGGGGGGAUACUUUACUGCAUCGUCAAAGGAAAGCCCAAGCUGGGGCAUCUGGUCCACAGGAUUACAUGCACCGCUGUUGCCUUCACAUGUUAGGUCUAACAAGAUCUUUCUCCUUACCUUCCCAGGGAAGACAAGUGUGCUCUGGCUAAGCUGGUGGAAAUUAUUAGGAUGAAGUAUAAUGACAGAUACAAUGUUCCACCACCAUUGGGGAGGCAACGUGCUGGGUCCAAGUCUAUGGCUUGCAUUGGCAAGCUGAAAAAGGAAAAGGUUAGAGUUCUUGCCACUAAACUGGGUUAAAUGCACACUUCUAAGUUUUCAGUACAUAAAUAUAAUUUCAAAAUUAAAAAAA